rnacentral:rRNA from 1 species
GUGGGUGGCAAGCGUUGUCCGGAAUUAUUGGGCGUAAAGCGCGCGCAGGUGGUUCUUUAAGUCUGAUGUGAAAGCCCCCGGCUCAACCGGGGAGGGUCAUUGGAAACUGGGGAACUUGAGUGCAGGAGAGGAAAGUGGAAUUCCACGUGUAGCGGUGAAAUGCGUAGAUAUGUGGAGGGACACCAGUGGCGAAGGCGACUUUCUGGCCUGUAACUGACACUGAGGCGCGAAAGCGUGGGGAGCAAACAGGGAUUAGAUACCCUGGUAGUCCACGCCGUAAACGAUGAGUGCUAAGUGUUGGGGGGGUUUCCGCCCCCUCAGUGCUGCAGCUAACGCAUUAAGCACUCCGCCCUGGGAGUACGGUCGCAAGACUG